rnacentral:tRNA from 3 species
GCCGGGGUUGCCGAGACUGGAAAGGCGCGAGCCUGGAGAGCUCGUUCUCGUAAGAGAUCGAGGGUUCAAAUCCCUUCCCCGGCG